rnacentral:rRNA from 1 species
UUUAAUUGAAGAGUUUGAUCAUGGCUCAGAUUGAACGCUGGCGGCAGGCCUAACACAUGCAAGUCGAGCGGUAGCACAGGAGAGCUUGCUCUCUGGGUGACGAGCGGCGGACGGGUGAGUAAUGUCUGGGAAACUGCCUGAUGGAGGGGGAUAACUACUGGAAACGGUAGCUAAUACCGCAUAACGUCUUCGGACCAAAGUGGGGGACCUUCGGGCCUCACGCCAUCAGAUGUGCCCAGAUGGGAUUAGCUAGUAGGUGGGGUAAUGGCUCACCUAGGCGACGAUCCCUAGCUGGUCUGAGAGGAUGACCAGCCACACUGGAACUGAGACACGGUCCAGACUCCUACGGGAGGCAGCAGUGGGGAAUAUUGCACAAUGGGCGCAAGCCUGAUGCAGCCAUGCCGCGUGUGUGAAGAAGGCCUUCGGGUUGUAAAGCACUUUCAGCGAGGAGGAAGGGUAGUGUGUUAAUAGCACAUUGCAUUGACGUUACUCGCAGAAGAAGCACCGGCUAACUCCGUGCCAGCAGCCGCGGUAAUACGGAGGGUGCAAGCGUUAAUCGGAAUUACUGGGCGUAAAGCGCACGCAGGCGGUUUGUUAAGUCAGAUGUGAAAUCCCCGCGCUUAACGUGGGAACUGCAUUUGAAACUGGCAAGCUAGAGUCUUGUAGAGGGGGGUAGAAUUCCAGGUGUAGCGGUGAAAUGCGUAGAGAUCUGGAGGAAUACCGGUGGCGAAGGCGGCCCCCUGGACAAAGACUGACGCUCAGGUGCGAAAGCGUGGGGAGCAAACAGGAUUAGAUACCCUGGUAGUCCACGCUGUAAACGAUGUCGACUUGGAGGUUGUGCCCUUGAGGCGUGGCUUCCGGAGCUAACGCGUUAAGUCGACCGCCUGGGGAGUACGGCCGCAAGGUUAAAACUCAAAUGAAUUGACGGGGGCCCGCACAAGCGGUGGAGCAUGUGGUUUAAUUCGAUGCAACGCGAAGAACCUUACCUACUCUUGACAUCCAGAGAAUUCGCUAGAGAUAGCUUAGUGCCUUCGGGAACUCUGAGACAGGUGCUGCAUGGCUGUCGUCAGCUCGUGUUGUGAAAUGUUGGGUUAAGUCCCGCAACGAGCGCAACCCUUAUCCUUUGUUGCCAGCACGUAAUGGUGGGAACUCAAAGGAGACUGCCGGUGAUAAACC